UACGGGGGGGGGCAAGCGUUGUUCGGAAUUACUGGGCGUAAAGGGCUCGUAGGUGCCAACUAAGUCAGACGUGAAAUCCCUCGGCUUAACCGGGGAACGUGCGUCUGAUACUGGAUGGCUAGAGAUUGGGAGAGGGGAUGGAGCGGAAUUCCGAAGGUUCUGAGCGGGUGGUAAAUAACGUCGUGAUAAUCUUGGGAGGGAAACCACCCAA
rnacentral:rRNA from 1 species